UGCAGUGAUUUUCCCAUUUAAUCAUCCUCAGGUCCUCUGGGUUCAAAGGCCGAUGCUCUAACUAGCGCGCCAACGAAUAACGUUAGCGUGCUCCCGUGCCCAGGAUAAGGGGGUCACCUUACUUCCGUGCUCUUCUGCGAAGGCCAGGAAACCGCCCUGCUUCGGCAUGUCUCCUGCGUGCGGUGUGUUACUGCUGCUGCUGCUGCUGCUGCUUCCUGUCGUGAGUCGGCUUUGCUGCGGUUUGCCCGCUUGCUUGCGUUUGUGUGAAAGCAGCACAAGUUCCCCGCCCUCGCCUUUCCUACACGAGUGCGUGUAGCAGAGUAGAGCCCUGAUUCGAGUGACAGCGCACCGCUGGACAGCUGCUCCAACAUGUCCUCCAGCCACCUCCCCCUCCGCAUCCUCGGUCUGCUACUGCUUGUUGGCACGGGGUUCGGCGAAAACGACACCGGUUCUUCCACAACGGUGCAAAGCAGUACCUCCAGAACAGUAGGCCUACAGACCAGCGUCUCCACAAUGGAAAUACACAGCAGUGCGAACAAUGUGUCCGGAUCCAGCAGCUCCACCCCCACCGAGGCCCUGGUCGAGACCACGGGCGCAGCGCACGAUAGCCUCAAAACAACGACGAUGUCGGUAGGGAGCCCUACGCCGGAGACCAGCACAGGAAAACGAACCACGAAGCUGUCGACCAGCGCAUCCUGGAGCAGCACGAGUCCGACGCCUCGCAUCAGCGAGACGACAGCAACAAGUGCAGCAGCACAUCGCUCUCAGCUUGACUACUCAGGAUACAUCAUUUUAUUCCUCCUGCUCAUCAGCAUCAUCCUUGUUGUCAUGUUCAUUUACUUUUUACGGAAAAAAACAAGGCAUUAUUCCUUUGACCUGUACCAGAAAGGUGCAGAAGACAUUGACAUUCCUCUAAGCUCUGUGGGGCAAAGAGGUGUAUUUGCAUCAACCCAAAAUGAUGAGAAGCCUGCGGAAGGCCUCACGUACGUGUCCGGUGUCCCCGAGGAGCCGAAGGCACCAUCGAGGGAGACCUUGUCGCAGACUGGAAGCGAGAAACUGGACAGCAACAACGAUGACCCUGAUAAAGUGGCCAGCGAGGACAGCUUUGGCUCCCAGGUGCCGCUGACCCCCAACGACAAGCCGCUUGAUUUCACCUUUGACCUGAUGGACGGCGAGCCGAACCACUCCAGCAAGACGUCCUCGGAAUCCCUGGAGGAGCAGCAGAACGAGAAUAACAACAACAUGAUGGGGAGCUACAGAGUUCUCUGCAGAGUAGAUCCCAACCCUGCAGGUCCGAGUGAGACCUUCACCGAGAUCAGUCUAGACGAGCCUGUGUAGGAGAACAUCACUACUGCAGCUGAUUCUGGAAAUUUUACACUGCCUCCAAAGCUUCCACCACCUCCAGGGUUUAUCAAAGCUAUUCAAUCGCUGUUUUACUCGUGGCUUGAUUUUGUUCAUAAUUCAAUCCUAUGAAGUUUAACUUGGUUUGAAAACGACUUUGUUUUAAGCUACUUAUUUUGUCAAAAUGAAACUGCUAUAUUUAGAAGUGUAUAAAGUGGACCUCAUCAUGAAUCCGACAGACCGCAUGCGUCUUCAUGGAAACAUUUUGUUUACAAGUGUUACUUUUUAAAAUUAGUCUUAUGUUGUCAGCUGAUCAUCAACAUGUUUAUAAAAAAAAAAAUGUGCUAAAAAUGUUGAUGGACAAUGUUAGUUAAAAUGCUUCACUUUUGUUGCUUUACUGCCUAGAUAUUAAAUUUGGUUUGAGGAGUAACGUAGAAUUCGUUGUGUGAAAAUACAUUCCCUUACCCUAUCUCUUUUUAAAUCUAACAAAUACAUGUCCGAAUUCCUGCUCUGGAUGCAGUGGGUCUACGAGCAAUUUAAAGAAUUUGAACCCUGGACAAGCACCAUUUUACCCUCCCUGGUUCCUCUGUCCUGGACAAGGGUCACAUUACUUCUCCAAAACAUGGGUUCUGGGAAUACACUGGUGAUGAUCAGAAAAGGAAGAUCACCACUCUGAACUAUGGAGAAUUUAU
rnacentral:lncRNA from 1 species